rnacentral:rRNA from 1 species
AACGAACGCUGGCGGCAUGCCUAACACAUGCAAGUCGAACGAGACCUUCGGGUCUAGUGGCGCACGGGUGCGUAACGCGUGGGAACCUGCCCUUAGGUUCGGAAUAACUCCCCGAAAGGGGUGCUAAUACCGGAUAAUGUCUUCGGACCAAAGAUUUAUCGCCUUUGGAUGGGCCCGCGUUGGAUUAGCUAGUUGGUAGGGUAAAAGCCUACCAAGGCGACGAUCCAUAGCUGGUCUGAGAGGAUGAUCAGCCACACUGGGACUGAGACACGGCCCAGACUGAGGGGGGAGGAAGAAGUAGGGAAUAGAGCACACGGGGCAAAAGAGUGAUCAAGCGAGGCGGGAGGAGGGGUGAAGGCGUUAGUGUAGGAAAGCUCGUUCCCGAGUGAUGAGAAAAACAGGACAGGGAAAAGAGGCCGCGGCUAGCGCCGUGACAGAGGCAGCAGAAAGAGUCGGAAGGGAACGCGAACGUAC